UUUAAAAAAUAUCUACAAUAUUAAACUUUUAAUCGAGAAUGCUAACAUACC
rnacentral:tRNA from 1 species